rnacentral:rRNA from 1 species
GAUGAACGCUAGCGGCAGGCUUAACACAUGCAAGUCGAGGGGUAUAGUUCUUCGGAAUUAGAGACCGGCGCACGGGUGCGUAACGCGUAUGCAAUCUACCUUUCACAGAGGGAUAGCCCAGAGAAAUUUGGAUUAAUACCUCAUAGUAUAGCAGUUUCGCAUGAAACCACUAUUAAAGUCACAACGGUGAAAGAUGAGCAUGCGUCCCAUUAGCUAGUUGGUAAGGUAACGGCUUACCAAGGCAACGAUGGGUAGGGGUCCUGAGAGGGAGAUCCCCCACACUGGUACUGAGACACGGACCAGACUCCUACGGGAGGCAGCAGUGAGGAAUAUUGGACAAUGGGCGGCAAGACCUGAGUCCAGCCAUGCCGCGUGCAGGAUGACGGUCCUAUGGAUUGUAAACUGCUUUUAUACAGGAAGAAACACU